rnacentral:tRNA from 1 species
GGGGGAAUAGUUCAGUGGCAGAGCACAUACUUAGCAUGCACGAGGUCCUGGGUUCAAUCCUCAGUACCUCUG